rnacentral:lncRNA from 1 species
UGAAAAAUCCUGAAAAAUUCUCUAAAAUUUCCAGAUUCUGAAAGAUUCCCAAAGUUAGAAAUUUAGGAAAAUUCCCAAGUUUUGACCCCUGAAAGUUCCCAAAAAUCCUAAACAAUUCCUUAAAAUUUCCCGAUUCCCGCAGGUUUAGAGUUCUGAAAGCUUAAAUUUUAAGCGCCAAAAGCUAGAUAUGCAAUUUAGAGUUGACAGCUAUUUUAGACCCAAAACCUUCAAAAAAAUUUCAAAAAAUACUGUGUUAUUCAAGUUUUUCCCUCAGAUUAGUUUCAAUUUCAGGCUGUCAAUUUGAAUGUCUAGCCUAAAUAAGAAGAGAAUGAUCUGAAAUGCAUGUGUUUGAGGUGUUAAAACUUCAGAAGUUUAAUGGAUUCCAUUUCGAGUGUUUUUGGGUUCAAUCAAAGGCUAUUUUUGGUUUAUGUUGGGUUGAUGCAAGUUUGGCUUCCAAAUUAGUCAUGUUGUUAUGGUUUUAUUGUUGUGUUUCGACUGCUAUACUCCUGAAUCAUUGCUGACCCUUCCUUUGUUUCAUUGUAAUUCCAGGUACAUAUAUGAACUUGACUUGGUGUAGAUUUUGAGUGAAAAUGAAACGAAAAGUGUCCUGCACCAGCUCCUUGAACUGUACUUGUUCGGAUUGCUAUGUUUAAUGGUCAAAUGAACCUUAAAUGAUAUGUAGUAGGUUAAUUUAGUUCAUUUUUGGUUUGUACACAUAUAAACUUGGACUGUAUAACUUGGACUGGACUGUUUUCGUGUCUAGUUAAGUGUUUUGAUUAAUUGUAAGCCAUUUGACUGCUGUAUGUAAUAGUUAGAUCUAGA